rnacentral:rRNA from 1 species
ACGCUCGACACCUACGGGAGACAGCAGUCGGGAAUAUUGCGCAAUGGAGGAAACUCUGACGCAGUGACGCCGCGUGCAGGAAGAAGGUUUUCGGAUUGUAAACUGCUUUAGACAGGGAAGAACAAAUGACAGUACCUGUAGAAUAAGCUCCGGCUAACUACGUACCAGCAGCCGCGGUAAUCUGAGCGGGCUGGCAAGGC